GACAGAGGGUGCAAACGUUGUUCGGAAUUACUGGGCGUAAAGGGCUCGUAGGUGGCCAACUAAGUCAGACGUGAAAUCCCUCGGCUUAACCGGGGAACUGCGUCUGAUACUGGAUGGCUUGAGUUCGGGAGAGGGAUGCGGAAUUCCAGGUGUAGCGGUGAAAUGCGUAGAUAUCUGGAGGAACACCGGUGGCGAAGGCGGCAUCCUGGACCGACACUGACACUGAGGAGCGAAAGCCAGGGGAGCAAACGGG
rnacentral:rRNA from 1 species